AUGAGUUCCAUUUUUACCCCAUGGCAGAGCAACAAGAAAGAAUGCACCCAGGUCACUGAAUGCUGUCUGGAACCAAGGCUAUCAAUAUACAGAAUGGGGCAGAAGCAGUGAGCCACAAAACCCAGAUGGCCAAGGAACCAUAAGGCUGUACUGAGGUUGAUUACUGGAGCUCUCACUUCCAGCUUCAUCUAUACUGGCAGGCUGAAGGUAGUCUCCACACCCAGCAUGGACUCCAUGGGCUUAAACUCAUGACCCUAGACCUGAGUUGACAUCAUAAAUAUGACGAUUAACCAGCUGAGCCACCCAGGCACCCCUGAAACUGGUUGUUGUAUAUGGCUCUAUGAUUCCAGUCAUUCUAAUGUGUGGUGAUCCAGGUGACCAAAGUUCACUGCCUUCAAAUCCUAACCACAAGUUGACUGCCCUGUGUCAUGAAGAUGCAACAUUUACUAAAAGUUUCAUGUUUAGGAAUGGCUGGAGGCAGAAGAAGCAAUGUUUCGGAAUUUUGGAAAACAACACAUAGAUCAAGCUUCCAUGUGACAGAUUUCCUAACAGCUGUGAUGUUUGCCAAGGAAAUUCUGCUGGAAGCCCCAGAUACUGAAUUCAAAAUACGUUGGAAAUUAAAACAGAGAUUUCCAGCUCUUGAUUACAUUAAAUUCAAAGCUCACUUAAUCUCUGAUGUUUUGUUUAAAUAGCAAAUCUUGACUUGAUUUGAAUAAAUAACUUCAUUUAUUAUUGG